GAACGCACCUUGCGCCCUUUGGCUAUUCCGAAGGGUACACCCGUUUGAGUGUCAUUGUAAUCUCACUUCAACGACUUUAUUGUUGUUUGAAUGUGGACUUGGACGUCUGCCAUGUAACAAUGGCUCGUCUUAAAUGCCUGAGUGUACCCCGCUUUGCGGCGUAUUCGGUGUGAUAAACAUUUCACCGGAAUUUGGUCUUUAUUGACCGCGCUUUUAGCAAUUGGUGGGCUCUAUGCUUUCUAACCGUCUGCCUCUGUGGACAAUCUCUUGACAAUUUGACCUCAAAUCGGGUGGGACUACCCGCUGAACUUAAG
rnacentral:misc_RNA from 1 species